CCUGUGGCAGCUAAACUCUGAGAAAAGUCCUUUCCAACGAACCUUUGUUAAUCAGGUGAAGCGUUGUGGAGAAAUGUCAAGAAAGCUACGCUUUUUCAAAGAUCAAAUUAGUAAAGCUGGUCUACUAUCUUCAGUACACCCUGUUGUGGAGCCAGAUCUAGAAUUGGAAGAAUUAGAGAUACAACUUGCCAAGCACGAGCAUGAACUAAUUGAAAUGAACGCCAACAGUGAAAAACUUCAACAAACAUACAAUGAGAUCCUUGAGUUCAAGUUGGUUUUGCAAAAGGUAA